AAUGAUCUUUGACAAGAAAGAAACAUCUGUGAGACAUGUUUCAUUGUUGGCCUUAAUUUUGGAUCAGCUUGUAGACAUGCGAAUGCUAUGGUAGCUACGUGAACAAUAUUCUGUGCGACCAGCUGGCUUGUUGGAGGUGAGAGACGUGGAUCUAAUACAUCAGUUAACAUUAUAUUUUGCAAUGAAGAUGGUGCUGAUAACAAGGACAAAAUUUCUGCAGGAUGCUUUCCCAUCAAUGUUUCCAAUGCCAAUACUCCAAAACUAUAAACAUCACCUUUUUCAGUUACAACCAUUGUGUAGGCAAAUUCUGGAAAAACAAAACAAUGCAAAUUAAAAUAUAUUAAAACAUAUAAUAAUCAUUAAUGACCCUUUUGCUUAUAUUUCCCAAAUCCUAACCCAUAUAAUUGUUUCUCCUGAUUUUUGCCCACGUAUGUAUAUAUAUUCUUGCAUAUCGAAUUUGUAGUGACAGCUUCCAUGCAUUUGGUUUGACAAUUACUCAUUAGUCAUAUGACACAAAAAUUUAACAAUGAAAACCGAUUUAAUCUACAAAUUAACUACAAAAAGUAAACAAGUAAAGUUGAGAGUAAAGCAAAUUAGUAAAUGAAUGGGUAGAGGAUAACGUCACCUGGAGCUACAUAGCCAUAAGUGCCAACAAGCCUUGUUUGAUUUGAAGAAUCAGGAUCUAUGAUUCUGGCAGUCCCAAAGUCAGAGACAAAAGCCUCCAAGUCCGAGUUUAACAGAAUGUUGUUACUUGAAAUGUCUCGAUGAACUAUUAUUGGUGUGCACGCAAAAUGCAAGUAAGAUAAAGCGUAAGCUGUGCUCUUGAUAAUGUUCACUCUUUUUGCCCAAUCCAAUUCCACGGCUUGAACAUCAUCACUUAGCAUGAAAAACAAGCUUCCCCUUUCCAUGUAUUCAUAAAUCAAAAACAUGCAUCGUUUGUGUAGACAAUACCCAUGCAGUUUCACAAUGUUUCGAUGUCGAACUUCUGUUAAGAAUUUGAUCUCAUUUCUAAAACUCCUAUCGAAAGCCGGUUCCUCAGCUUCAAGACGAUGAAGCUUCUUCAAGGCAACCACUUUGCCACUUGGUAGCUGUGCUUUGUAGACACUUCCGUAACCACCAGUUCCAAUGCAGUAUCGAAUGUCAAAAUCAUUUGUUGCUGCUAUGAUGUCUUCGUAAGCAAUCUUUCCAUCGUAGUUCCAUAUCGAGAACAGGUCUCCAUUCUUCGUGGCUUGCAAUACACUAGUUGGGUUGACCUUGACCUUACACCUCCACGAUAAUAAUGAACACCCGAGAAGAAAAAAAGCAACGAGUACGGUAACGGGUAGAAAUAUUUGGAGAUUGUGACCCUUCUUCACUGAAUAAUUGGUUGGCGGAGAACAGGAGUAGGGUGAUAAAUUUUUGUUGCCACCAAAUAUGCGAGCAUCUAUAUCAUAACAGCUAGAAUUUACGAAAUUAUACAUUGCCCAAGGAAUAUUAAGUGGAACUACACCUGAGAAAUCAUUAUUUCUCAGAUCUACUUGUUCUAGCAACGAAAGAUUGCCGAUUUGACUAGGAAUGAGACCUUGUAAAUUGUUGCUACUUAAGUUCAACUCAGUUAAAUUGAAGCAAUUACCAAUUUGAGGCGGAAUGGGUCCAGUCAAUCGAUUUUGAAAGAGAUUCAAUGAAACCAGUGCUCUCAAAUUUCCAAUUUCCUUGGGUAUGUGACCUUCUAAAAGAUUUGACUGGAGGGAUAAAGUCAGCAAAGUCUUCAAAUCUCCAAUUUUUGAAGGGAUAGAACCAGUGAUUCUGUUGUUGCAUAAGUUCAACUCUGUUAAAUUGAAGCAAUUACCAAUUUGAGGCGGAAUGGGUCCACUCAAUCGAUUUUGAAAGAGAUCCAAUGAAGCCAGUGCUCUCAAAUUUCCAAUUUCCUUGGGUAUGUGACCUUCUAAAAGAUUUGACUGAAGGGAUAAAGUCAGCAAAGUCUUCAAAUCUCCAAUUUUUGAAGGGAUAGAACCAUUGAUUCUAUUGAAGUCAAGAAGCAAAUUUUCUAGCUUGUGUAAAAAGCCUAAAGAGGAGGGGAUUGGACCGAUGAGGUAGUUCCUUGAUAGAUCCAUGGAGACCAAAUUGGAUAAUUGAAAUAGAGUGGAAGGAAUGGAAUCAUUAAGAAAGUUAUUAGACAAAUCCAGGGUCUCUAAAUUGGUUAACUCGCCUAGAGCGGAAGGAAUGAAACCAUUAAGAGAGUUAUAAGAUAAACCUAAGGUCUCUAAAUUGGUUAACUUACCUAGAGAGGAAGGAAUGGAACCAUUAAGAGAGUUACUAGACAAAUCUAGGGUCACUAAAUUGGUUAACUUACCUAAAGCUAAAGGAAUUGAACCACUAAGAGAGUUACGAAACAAAUCCAGGGUCACUAAAUUAGUUAACUUACCUAAAGCUAAAGGAAUGGAACCACUAAGAGAGUUACCAGACAAAUCCAGGGUCACUAAAUUGGUUAACUUACCUAAAGCGAAAGGAAUGGAAUCACUAAGAUAGUUACCAGACAAAUCCAGGGUCACUAAAUUGGUUAACUUACCUAGAGCGGAAGGAAUGAAACCACUAAGAUAGUUACCAGACAAAUCCAAGGUCACUAAAUUGGUUAACUUACCUAGAGCGGAAGGAAUGGAACCCCUAAGAGAGUUACGAGACAAUUCCAGGGUCACUAAAUUAGCUAACUUACCUAAAGCGGAAGGAAUGGAACCACUAAGAGAGUUAAAAGACAAAUCCAGGGUCACUAAAUUGCUUAACGCACUUAAAGUGGAACGAAUGGAACCACUAAGAAAGUUAUUAGACAAAUUCAGGUUCUUUAAAUUGGUUAACUCACUUAGAAUGGAAGGAAUGGAACCACUAAGAGAGUUAUUAGACAAAUCUAGAUUCUCUAAAUUGGUUAACUCACUUAGAGUGGAAGGAAUUGAAUCAAAUAACCCACAAUCAUUUAGUUAGAGAGUCACCAAAUUCUUUAACUUUCCAAUUUCUACUGGGAUGGAUCCAUUGAUUUGGUCAUGUGAAAAAUCAAUAUACUCUAAUCGGAUGAGAUUGCCAAGCCGAAGAGAUAACCUACCAUGUAAAUAAUUGAAGGACAAGUCGAUAUGCGUUAAUCUUGACAGAUUGCUUAUAUUGAAAGUAAAAUCCUCCAUGUUCCCAUUGAGUUCAUGACUACUAAGAUUGAGAAAAACAAGAUUUGGAAAGCAAGAGAAGUCCAUAUUCUUGAAUUUACCACCAACCUUAAUAGCGUCAGAAGGUGGGUUAAUUUUGAUGACGCUUCCAGCAUCAUUGCAUGAGAUACCUGUCCAGUUGCAACGUUGCAAAGUGUCGUUGCUGUAGCUACUCCACCAGCCACUCUCGAGUAGAGCCUUCGCUUCUCGUUCCAGUGACAAUGCUGUUGCUGAGGUAGUUGCGGCAACUUGAGACGCAACAUAGAAAGGAAUGAUGGUAGUACUCCAUACCAUCACCGUUACGAGAGUUGUAAUAGCUAAGCUCAUGUUUAAGUUCAUCAUUUAUGGCGAGUUCUUGUUGUUGUAUGUUAAUUGCCGGAGGACCGAAAUUUAAAGACGUCUAGUUCCGGAGUCAAGGUCUUCUAAAAGUGAAGAGUGAAGACUAUGAACAGAGAUACAGAGAGUGGAAUUUCGAUUCUUACACAGAAAGUUCAUGGUGUGGUCCACUUCUCUUUUUGCCUAAUUUUUAUUCAAAUGCGGGUCCAUAAAUUUUUGCUCAACCGCGUGGGUCCAACUGAGGUUGAAUUUGAUACAGUAACACGAAAAUGUUAGUCUCUGGCAAAGCCUUUUAGUUCAAAAAUUCGAUAGCAAAGUGCCUUUCUUGAUUAAGCCUUUUAGUAUAUCAGAGCAUUCCUAGAACCAUCCUCAGCAAUAAUUACAGGAAAUACGUGUCUAAUACGCCCAUUGACUGCAAAUUUCUCCAGAAGUUUCGCCAUUAAUUUAUCAGAGUCGUUAAUGAUAUAUAACAUUCUGUUUGAUACGUCACUUCCACCACGCGAUAAGAAAUCUAUACAUUUGUUUUAGUGCACUUAAAACAGUGGGGUUGCAACAACUCAGCUUUCGAUGACUGAGUAAAUUCAGUGGCUACUCAUGUUUUUUCUUGAUCUUACAUGCAUGCAGCAUCUGAAGUGGUUGUCAAAUUUUUAACAUUAAUUUUGUUUUCAAAUUAACCAAAAUUAAGAACAUUGGUUUUUCCAUCAAUGUAGUAAUUGAUUAGAAAAAGCACCACAAGACUUAGCAAGAGAUCAAAGCCUCUCAAGUGAAUAGUCUUUGAUAGCAUCUCAAUCAAAUUAAAUUGUUCAAAUGUCACAUCUUAAAUAAAUUUGUAAAUAAAAAAUUUAUAACAUAUGGAAUUCAAGCAGAGUUUUAAAUUCUGAAGUACUUUUUAGCUUACAUUUACCUUUAAGAAACAAGUUUUAUUAAGUGAAAGGUCAACAAAUAGAGACUGUGCUUAUAAUUCUAAUUAAUUUUUAUCAAAUUUUAAAUCUAGUCUAAACUGAUUAAUAAUAAGUCAUGAAUUUUUUUAUUUAUAAUUUCAUAAUAUACUUUAAAUUUGAACACAUGAGCUGCACAUGUACAUAAUUUUUCAUAUUUAUAAAAGAUAAAUAUUAGAAAUAAGUUAUACUCAAUGAUAAUAAAUUUUAAUUUAGUUUAUACUACAUCAUAAUAUUGCUCGACAUUGUUUAUAUUAUAACUAAAUUAUUAUAUUAAACUUUAAAAGUUUGUUUAAAUUAUAUGAUUUCAAGUAAAAUUAUCCAAUUAAAUACAUGCAGGCAUGAUUUGUAAAAGCCGAGUCUUGACUUAAUCGUAUUGUUAAGAAGGAAUUUGAAGGUCCAAAGUCAACUAGAAUACCUAAAUCUAUGCUUAGUGCUAUGGACUGGUUUUUUAUAAUAUCCCUUGAUGGUAGUAUCGUACUGAGUACUGUUAUAUUAUUAUUUAAUCAUAGAAUGACACUUCAUAAAUGUAUAAAAAUAAAAAAUUAUGAGAGUUGUAAUAGCAAAGCUCAUGUCUAAGUUCAUCAUAUAUAUGGCCAAAGUUCUUUACAGACGGCUAUUUCCGGAGUCAAGGUCUUCUAAAAGUGAAGAGUGAUGACUAUGAAUAAAAAAUUCAUCGUGUGGAAUUUAUGCUAGAGCUGAGGAAUUUCGAAUCUUACACAAAAAAUUCAUGGUGUGGUCCACUUCUCUUUUUGCCCAACCCUGAGAACGUGAUCUGCUUUUACCGUUGUCUUUGCUUCAGCGUGUAUUAUCUCGUCCUUUUUUCUGCAAAAUUUAUUGCCGUGUCGAUUAGUUUCUUUGUGAGAGUCAAUGACGCAGUGUCUAGCAAGUAGCAACCCCUGCUUCCAGGAAGCAAUAGCCGCGUGGGUCCAACUGAGGAAGCAUUCCUAGAAUCAUCAUCAGGAAUAUAAGUAGAGGAUAUACUUGUCUAACACGCCCAUUGACUGCUCAUUUUCACAUUAAAGAAGUUUGGCCCCCUGAUGGACAAGGAUAAUAAAUUUUGCGCGUAUUUUGUUUAGUUUUCCUAUAUCUAGUCUUCAAAAAGCUAGAGAACUGAUUAAGAACAUUGUGGUUGUGAAAUUUUUAACAUUAUUUUUGCUUGUCUUGUACACUAGGAAUGCCUUUAGAAUCUCUCCACUAUAGGUUUCAGGGUUUACAUGCUUAUGCUUAACAUGAGAAACUUACAUGACCUCUAAUUUGAUUACUUUGGUAGAAUUAAAGUGGACCUUCAAUUAAUCGGUUUGAAAUUAUUACUCGAAACUAUUAAAUUAAAGAAGUUAAAUUUCUAAUCAUAAUCUUCCAAUUUAACUCUUAAAAAAGCAGGGUAAUACAAUAGUUGAUAAUGAAAAAGUUGGAUGCCUUUCAGUAAUUACGGGAACAAGAAAAAUAUUGAUCUGCCUUUCAAAAAAAAAAGGAAAAAUAUUGAUCUCAGGAUUGUAUUUGAUUCGUAUUACUGGUUUUUGCUUCUCAUGAUUCCUUCCUUUAUUCUCUCCUCUCUCUCUCCUUUACGAUACAUAGCUUACAAUCAGCAACAAUUUUCGCCUUUAUAGACCUUGUACAAGGAAACAACCGUUAGAAAAGUCACUCCAAAGUUCUCCUCAGCUCUAGCAAUAGCUUCUACUACUACACCCUCCCAAUCCAUACCCCUCACUGAGUGUCGCAUCCUUUGAAGCUCCCCUUCUGCGCAUUCCAAUUAAACACUCUACCUGUACCUGAAUUCCAAUUGUUAUAAUCAUUUUUAUUUACAAUUUACUUUCAGAUGUUACCUUUAAACGACUUAAUUUGACUAAGAAGCUAUCAAAGACUAUUGACUCGAGACACUUUGAUCUCCUGCUGAGUCUUGUACUUCUUCUAAUCAAUUACUGUAUUGAUGGAAAGACCAACGUUCUUAAUUUUGGUUUGAAAGCAAAAAUAAUGCUAAAAAUUUCACAACCACAAUGUUCUUAAUCAGUUCUCUAGCUUUUUGAAGACUAGAUAUAGGAAAACUAACCAAAAUACGCGCAAAAUUUAUUAUCCUUGUCCAUCAGGGGGCCAAACUUCUUUAAUGUGAAAAUGAGCAGUCAACUUCUUUAAUGUUAAAUUGUUUGUGUUUGACCAGAUAGGUGAAACCCAAUAUCUCCAUUAUUUUUAUUUAAUCUUUCUUUCUUUCAUUGUAGAAAGGGUAAUUUCAAUGACCAUUGGAUGUUAAUUUGAUAUCAGUCACUCUGUUUCCUUUGACAAAAAAAGCUCUGUUUCAUUGUUGGAAUCGAAUUUUGCUCAUAUGAAUUAGUUAGUUUUAAACAUCGAGCAGUGUCCUAAAAUAUAAUCUAAAAUAGGAUUAGCUGCAUCUAACUCUUGUUUAAGGAAUGAAGUGAUUUCAGCAUAAUGAAAUGUAACUUAUCAUGAUAGACUACCCUUUCACAUGGAAAACAGAACUCAUUUUCACCAAAUUGGAGAACUAAUAACAUGUAGAAUAUGAAAGAGGCAAUAACAAAAAGUAAGGACCCAGAAUAAAAAGAAAAAGGUUGAAACCAGAAACGCAUCCUAUCAAUCAGUUCACAAAAACAACAAGACACUUGUCCUAAUAAUGGCACUAUCAUUGUGGAGCUUGACAUGAUCCUUCCAUAUGCAUUCCACUUGUCACAAGUUGCAGCAAAGAGAUUGUUCGGAGGGGGUUCCUUAAUGAUCUUUGACAAGAAAGGAACAUUUGUGAGACAAGUUUCAUUGUUGGCCGUAAUUUUGGAUCAGCUUGUAGACAUGCGAAUGCUAUUGUAGCUACAUGAACAAUAUUCUGUGCGACUAGCUGGCUUGUUGGAGGUGAGAGACGUGGAUCUAGCACAUCAAUUAACAUUAUAUUUUGCAAAGAAGAUGGUUCUGACAACAAGGAUAAAAUUUCCACAGGAUGCUUUCCGACCAAUGUUUCCAAUGCCAAUACUCCAAAACUAUAAACAUCACAUUUUUC
rnacentral:lncRNA from 1 species